rnacentral:lncRNA from 1 species
GCAGUACAGUUUGCAAGAAAGAGAUAUUUCAGCCCUUGAGUGAAAAAAAGUGCCUAGAACUGGUCCCAACUCUCAAGAAAUUUAGUGUGUUGACCGCGAGACACACAGAAGCGAGCAAUUAGGUCCGGACCCAGACUUGCUUCUCCAUCCAAACCUGCUGCUCCUGCUGUUGGUCCUGUUUCAGUCAAAGGUCGGCUGUGGCUCUUCUUCACACAUCAUCUUCAUUUUGCGAUCAUGGCUGAAGGAGCAGCUCCAUCUGGGACGGGAAGUUAUGGGGACCAAAGACGAAGAACAAUGGGAUGAACCAGGCCACCGUUGUAAAACAUCUGCUCAGACGCAUUGUCCCCUCCAAAUGCAAGUCGGUUAGUGAAACCCAGUUCUUGCACGUGCUGCAAGAAACCCUAAGAUGGUGAGUUUUUUGGUUUCUGCCUUGGGGAAGAAAGAGAGGGAGAGUCAGAAGUGUUGGGCAGCCCCAAAGGUGGGAUUUUGG